UUUUAAUUCUUGGAAAGUAUCGAAUCGUUCGGAAAUAAUUUCGUUUCUUCACACGAGUGUCGCUAGUCGAACGUUUAUCCAGCCAACUUCAUUCUAAACCAUGUUGCUCGGAAAGUAAUUUCGUUUCUUCACACGAGUGUCGCUAGUCGAACGUUUAUCCAGCCAACUUCGUUCUAAACCAUGUUGCUCGGAAAGUAAUUUCGUUUCUUCACACGAGUGUCGCUAGUCGAACGUUUAUCCAGCCAACUUCGUUCUAAAC